rnacentral:rRNA from 1 species
UAGGGAAUCUUCGGCAAUGGACGAAAGUCUGACCGAGCAACGCGCGUGAGUGAAGAAGGUUUUCGGAUCGUAAAACUCUGUUGUUAGAGAAGAACAAGGACGUUAGUAACUGAACGUCCCCUGACGGUAUCUAACCAGAAAGCCACGGCUAACUACGUGCCAGCAGCCGCGGUAAUACGUAGGUGGCAAGCGUUGUCCGGAUUUAUUGGGCGUAAAGCGAGCGCAGGCGGUUUCUUAAGUCUGAUGUGAAAGCCCCCGGCUCAACCGGGGAGGGUCAUUGGAAACUGGGAGACUUGAGUGCAGAAGAGGAGAGUGGAAUUCCAUGUGUAGCGGUGAAAUGCGUAGAUAUAUGGAGGAACACCAGUGGCGAAGGCGGCUCUCUGGUCUGUAACUGACGCUGAGGCUCGAAAGCGUGGGGAGCAAACAGG